rnacentral:rRNA from 1 species
CCUACGGGAGGCAGCAGUGAGGAAUAUUGGUCAAUGGACGGAAGUCUGAACCAGCCAUGCCGCGUGCAGGAAGACGGCUCUAUGAGUUGUAAACUGCUUUUGUACAAGGGUAAACCUGAAUACGUGUAUUCAGCUGAAAGUACUGUAAGAAUAAGGAUCGGCUAACUCCGUGCCAGCAGCCGCGGUAAUACGGAGGAUCCAAGCGUUAUCCGGAUUUAUUGGGUUUAAAGGGUGCGUAGGCGGAUCGAUAAGUUAGAGGUGAAAUGUCCGAGCUUAACUCGGGAACUGCCUCGAAUACGGUUGAUCUAGAGAGUAGAUGCGGUAGGCGGAAUGUAUGGUGUAGCGGUGAAAUGCUUAGAGAUCAUACAGAACACCGAUUGCGAAGGCAGCUUACUAGACUGUGACUGACGUUGAUGCUCGAAAGUGUGGGUAUCAAACAGGAUUAGAUACCCUGGUAGUC